CCUACGGGAGGCAGCAGUGGGGAAUAUUGGACAAUGGGGGGAACCCUGAUCCAGCGACGCCGCGUGAGUGAAGAAGUAUUUCGGUAUGUAAAGCUCUAUCAGCAGGGAAGAAAGAAAUGACGGUACCUGACUACGAAGCCCCGGCUAACUACGUGCCAGCAGCCGCGGUAAUACGUAGGGAGCAAGCGUUAUCCGGAUUUACUGGGUGUAAAGGGAGCGUAGACGGCGAUGCAAGUCUGAAGUGAAAGGCGGGGGCCCAACCCCCGGACUGCUUUGGAAACUGUAGGGCUGGAGUGCAGGAGAGGUAAGUGGAAUGCCUAGUGUAGCGGUGAAAUGCGUAGAUAUUAGGAGGAACACCAGUGGCGAAGGCGGCUUACUGGACUGUAACUGACGUUGAGGCUCGAAAGCGUGGGGAGCAAACAGGAUUAGAUACCCCGGUAGUC
rnacentral:rRNA from 1 species